rnacentral:tRNA from 1 species
ACUCUGAGGGAUAGCUCAGUUAGUAGAGCAUGAGACUCUUAAUCUCAGAGUUGUGGGUCCAAGCCCCACGUUGGGUG